AUACGGAGGGUGCAAGCGUUAUCCGGAUUUACUGGGUUUAAAGGGUGCGCAGGCGGUAAUUUAAGUCAGUGGUGAAAGCCUACAGCUCAACUGUAGAACUGCCAUUGAAACUGAAUUACUUGAGUGUGGUAGAGGUAGGCGGAAUACAACAUGUAGCGGUGAAAUGCAUAGAUAUGUUGUAGAACACCGAUUGCGAAGGCAGCUUACUAAACCAUUACUGACGCUCAGGCACGAAAGCGUGGGGAGCGAACAGGAUUAGAAACCCUAGUAGUCC
rnacentral:rRNA from 1 species